GUGAACGCUGGCGGUAGGCCUAACACAUGCAAGUCGAACGGCAGCACAGUAAGAGCUUGCUCUUACGGGUGGCGAGUGGCGGACGGGUGAGGAAUACAUCGGAAUCUACUUUUUCGUGGGGGAUAACGUAGGGAAACUUACGCUAAUACCGCAUACGACCUACGGGUGAAAGCAGGGGAUCUUCGGACCUUGCGCGAUUGAAUGAGCCGAUGUCGGAUUAGCUAGUUGGCGGGGUAAAGGCCCACCAAGGCGACGAUCCGUAGCUGGUCUGAGAGGAUGAUCAGCCACACUGGAACUGAGACACGGUCCAGACUCCUACGGGAGGCAGCAGUGGGGAAUAUUGGACAAAGGGCGCAAGCCUGAUCCAGCCAUACCGCGUGGGUGAAGAAGGCCUUCGGGUUGUAAAGCCCUUUUGUUGGGAAAGAAAAGCAGCAGGUUAAUACCCCGCUGUUCUGACGGUACCCAAAGAAUAAGCACCGGCUACCUUCGUG
rnacentral:rRNA from 1 species